UUCUGUGCUUGGGGAGGGGGGAUGUGAGUGGAUUCAGAGCUGCAUGGUUGCCCUAUACUGUAAUGUACCCUACCCAGUACUGUAGCCUUUUGUGUAAAAGGAUGAGCUAAACAGUUGUUUUGCAAAGGGGGGGCCCGUUUGCACCACAGCAGCAAGUCAGAGCAGCUCCCAGGCAGCCGUGGUGGCGGUGGGCUGAGGGUGCAUUGAUGGAGGGAUGCUGUAACAGAUACCCCCUGCUUCUGAGCUUUCAGCCUCAACCCUAUCACAUGCACACAUCUUACAGAAACUUGAAAAGCUUGACACAGAGAGAGGCGAGGGAGUGAGGCAGCACUCUCUGAGCAUGACAUGAUGCACUGCUGCUUGUUCCAGGGAAGGGUAUGGCUGCUCUGUACGGCUGUCACCAAGAUCCUGUUCUUUAUUGAAAAGAGCAACCCUGAGGUCUGGAAAAAAAAACAUCUCUAAUGCACCCCUUCAUUUUCCAAAAAGCAGGAUCCUGGUGACUUGGUGGAAUAGCUAAGCUCUGAUUGAGAAGAGGCUACCAAAAACUCACAGGCAAAACCAAUUGUUGAGAUAAACAUGGGGAAAACCCUACAAAACCAAAACAAAGAACAAUUGCUUCAAGCCUCCCAAAUUUCUAUUUAAUUCAGAAAACAAAUUAACUCUAACCUCUAUCUGCGGCGCCUCUGCAGGGAAACCACAGUGGGAGGAGUCCCAGUUUACACACAAUCAGGAGAGAGGGAGGAAAUCCAAGGACUAAACGGGAGAAGAAAACAUGCUUGGACAAUGUGCUGCACACUGGUGGGACUGCAAUUAUAUGCAAGAAAAGCACCUUUCCUAUCAGAGGCAGUACUGAGUAAGGAGAAGACUCAGCAAGGAGAAUAAUAAUAAUUAAGUCCCUGACACCAUAGUGAUGGACGUGAUCUAGUAACAGAGACAGAUGACCCAGUAGCUGAAUGACUGAUCAUCUCCCUCAGAACACAGCAGGGGAACUUCAGGCAAUGUAUCUGUAAAGCACUGAGUACCUUCCACUCUUCCCGACCCCGCCAAUUUCCUCUGCACAAACCAUCCAUAUGGAUUUGACACGUGACCUCUGAGAGACCCUGCAUUGUACAUCCCAGUAAGUCAAAGCGUAUGGGGUGGAGGAGCCACGUUCCUACCAAAGCUUCUGCAAGUCACUAAGGGUCAAGUUAAGUGCAAGCCUGAUCCUGUUGUCUGGACCAGGCUUGCCCAGUUCAUGCUUUAAGCUGCCCAGCCUCAGCAGGCUGGGUUUCCUCUCAGCUGCAGAGCUCGAAGGAGGUGGUCCCUGUCUCACUCCGUGUGGUCCUGGGCAGCUCAGCAUCCCCACCAGAUUGGGGGCACAUCUUCGUGGCUGGCUCAUCCUCACCCGCCUGAGGGGCUUCAAGACUUGGAGCUGGGGAAGGAGGUUGAGUAACAAGAGGGCUGUGGGACUUGAAGACUUCUCUGGAGCCAUGUAGCCCUUUCAGCAUUUCCAUGAGUUUGUUUUUCCUCUCAGACCCAGGGGCUUAUCAGCACUUCCCUGCUUCACAGGGAUGCUGCGAUGAGUAAAUCCAUUAUAAGCUGUGCAGUGCUGAGACACCAAGUCUACGGCCACACAAAUUAGUAAGAGAGGCCAAGGAAUGUUUUCCACCCCCAAGACCCAUUGGCAUGCCCAGCCAUCCCCAAAGGGAUGUGCUUCUGUCCCCCCAGAGCGGUAGAGCUGUGCCCAAACCACCUGCAGAGAACCACACUAGCUCCUGAAAUAUGCCUGGGCAUUGGCAGCAAACUCAUGCAAGGGCAAUGCCAACCAUUUAAUUGCAUGGGCAACUGCCUGGGCCUGUGCCCUGCCUCUACUUUAUUAAUUUAUUAGUACCUUGCUGCUAGCUUACACUCGCAUAGACAGAGAGCUUGCCAUUAGCAAGGGCAAUAAAGUGCCUGUGAGAGAAAAGUCCAAAGUGUUUUAUUGGUUUCAAAAUAAAAAGGUGCUUUCUCCUCUGCGGUUCCAUCUCGUUUGUCCUGGUCACUGUGGAGAUGGGUUGAU